rnacentral:lncRNA from 1 species
AUGGCUCAGUUCCCCGCGGUUGCGGUGGUACUGCUGCUAGGCUGCUGCGUUCGUGCGUGGGACUUGGAUAACUGUUGCUCCUGUCACGUGGUCCAAUGCGUUCCGGUCGGCAGCCUCGUCUUCGUGCCGUGCCCGAGUCCAUCGCUCCCGGACCCCGACAACGCCGAGGUGAGCUUCCGGCUCGACCAUUCAGAAGAGAUGGCGUCCUACGACUUCGACGGAUCGAAGCUUGACGCCGGGCUGGAGGAAAACGUGACAAUGGCAAAGAGACGGACGGGGAUCAGUGUCAAGAUGCACUUGAACACGACGGCGUCGGACGGGUGGGCGCGGUUCGCGCUCAUCGGGGUCGCCGCGGAGGACAGCGGCCUUUAUCGGUGCAGCGCCAAGGUCAUCUACCCCGCCCCCGUGUUGACCCUCUGCAACGCGUCCACAGUGGACCUCCGCCUGGAAGGGCGUGGAUUGGGUUUCUCUUUGUGCUCAGGGCACCAGUGCGAGGCCCCUGUGGUCUGUGGCCCCCCGGUCUCCGGGCCCCCUGAGUGUCUCUCGACCUGGAUCUGGAUCGGGGCGAUGGCCGCCCUGGGUGUGUAUGCCCUGCUCGUCACCGUCGUGGCCUCGGUCAAAAUUGUGAGUCGCAGUCCGGUGUCUGCAUCACCUGACUCGCAGGCACUCAAACACUCACUCUCUCACUCUCUCUCUCACUCACUCACUCACUCACUCACUCACUCACUCACUCACUCACUCACUCACUCACUCACUCUCACACUCACUCACUCACUCAGUCAGUCAGUCAGUCAGUCAGUCAGUCAGUCAGUCAGUCAGUCAGUCAGUCAGUCAGUCAGUCACUCAGUCAGUCAGUCACUCAGUCACUCAGUCACUCACUCUAGCACACACGGACAUGUGGAUUUUUGGUAUUUGGUUGUUGGUCUGCCUUUGUAUUUUUCCAGCAGAUUAACAGAUAAGCACACACAAACACACACACACACACACAAACAUACACAUUUGGUUGAAAGUGAAUGCAAAGCGGCUCGAAAACAAAGUAGGACAGGAAACAGGAAAUCGCAUGUAAACCACAACAUUUUAUCAAAUACCCAGACUUGUGGGUUGUUUAUUUUAGUAAGGGUCUAA